UUAAGUUUUUUCUGGCUCAGAAUUGAACGCUGGCGGCAGGCCUAACACAUGCAAGUCGAGCGGUAGAGAGGUGCUUGCACCUCUUGAGAGCGGCGGACGGGUGAGUAAUGCCUAGGAAUCUGCCUGGUAGUGGGGGAUAACGCUCGGAAACGGACGCUAAUACCGCAUACGUCCUACGGGAGAAAGCAGGGGACCUUCGGGCCUUGCGCUAUCAGAUGAGCCUAGGUCGGAUUAGCUAGUUGGUGGGGUAAUGGCUCACCAAGGCGACGAUCCGUAACUGGUCUGAGAGGAUGAUCAGUCACACUGGAACUGAGACACGGUCCAGACUCCUACGGGAGGCAGCAGUGGGGAAUAUUGGACAAUGGGCGAAAGCCUGAUCCAGCCAUGCCGCGUGUGUGAAGAAGGUCUUCGGAUUGUAAACACUUAAUGAAACUCU
rnacentral:rRNA from 1 species